UGGUUAAUUUUGAAUUUUAUCCAGGGAGACAUGAGAAUUAUGCAUAAUAUUUAUACACAUUUAAAGUUAAACCAUGCAUAAUAUAUUGAUUUCCUAUUGGAGUGAAAAAAAUGAGUACAUGUACAUAAAUAAUGUUCGGAAGUAUAAAAAUGAACUAGGUACAAAUAUUGCUCUGUCAGAUGUAGUUGUACUUGGUUUUUAUCACAUAUCACUUAUCAAUAUGAAAUCAUCCAUUUUAUAUAUGCCAAUUUUGGAUGGGAAUUUUGACAGUAAUUUUGGGACUUUAAAAAUAAAACAUUUGAAAAUUUGCUGUCUUUUUUUAUUGGGAACGUAAAUAGUUUUAUAAGGGAAAAAUGCUGUUCUAUUACAAAUAGAAUAGAUAAUAGUUACAAAUACUACAAAUAAUAUAUCAGGGAUUGAAAAACGAAAAACAACAACAACAACAAUGCUUAAAAAAUAUAAAUUUCCUACAUGUUCUGACUCAUUUUUCUUUUUUGAAGACAAUUUUUCUUUUUUGAAGACACUGUUUAACUAACUUCUUUCUGGCUAAACAUUUGCCGAAUAUUGCAUUGUUACAUUUUAAAAAAAUUUUGUGGAACAUACUGGAAUCGCCGCACGGGCUUUUAGUAAGUUUUUACAAAAUAGAAUCGGACAGAAUUAAGCGUUGCAUUCAACAAAUCAACAUCAGUUUUGCUCAUCAAACACACGGGAAUUAUUUUGUGCUCUGUCUUACUAGUAAAACUUGAAAAAUGGUUUCAAAAGAAUUGAAUUGAAAUUUGAUUAAUUUAUGCUAGAAAUUUCACAUGUCCUGCAGGACGGGCAUUUUUGGGAGAUUAACUUGUCCAGAGUCAUUUUUACUCGUAUUUAUCAUUUAUGAGCGGACAAGUGGAUUUGUCGAGCCUUGAUUAACUGCAAGUGAUUAACCACAUUAUUUCCAUAAAACUUAUACUACAUGUAAUUACAUUGUUUGAGAUAAUAAAUCAUUUGACUUACUAGUGAAAUAAGUUUAAGACUGCAUAAUAUUGAUAUAAAAGUGAAUUCAGUUAGUGUGUUCCAAACUACAGGUGGAAACUGUUCUAUUUUCUAUUCAAGUUUUUUUUUGAUGAAACAAAACUUAAUCCUGACAACAGUUAUAUAUGCUUAACAGUGUUGUAUUUUGAUUAUUUUAAAAUCUGUUGAAAAUAUUUAUAUUAAAUUCAUGAAAAGAAGUUUAAAAAAAAGAGAAAGAAAUGAGAUUUGGGCAUAAUUUUUAAGAAGGUAAAGAUACUUCAAUGAAAAAGUAAGAUAGGUAACAAAAAUCAAUCAAACGAAAAACACAUUUAAAUUUCAAGUUGUUCCUGACAUAUCUAAGUUGUUCCUGACAUGUCAGAACAAAAUUAAUAAUUUUUUUUUUGAAAUCUGGUAACCUUGAGCUAUGUUCUCUACCGAUUGAGCUAUGAUUCCGACAAUUAUUACUCACUUUUACAAUUGUUAGUCAAUCAUAUCUGGACAUGCAACAUUCAACUUACCCAUAUAUAUGCCUUUAAAAAGGACUGUUUUGACUAUAAAUACUUGAAAUUAUAAAGAAAUUGCCCUAUUAUUCUUUACAGUCUAUUGUGUAUAGGCUAAAUUUAGGAGACACUUGUGAAAAUACGCAAUGAAAAAUGAAUAAUUACAUUGAAAAUACAGGAAAUGAAAAUGAGCAUUUUACUUUAUCAAUAUUUCUUAAUGUUUCAAUGAAGUAUGUAAUAAAUUAAAAGAACUAUUGUAUUGAUUAGGAAAAGUUUUUAUUUCAGGUUUGUGAAUAAAGGCUUGUUUGUUAGAUUUCAAUUGUGGCUCAGUUGGUUGUUUGCUGAGAAGCUGUGAAACAUAAUUAUACAGGCCAUUAAGGAGGUUUUUGUCAGAUUGAUGAAUGUGAAAUUAAGAGGACCCAUUUUGAGAAUGCUUUUUAUGAAUGGAAUCAAGAGAGAUAAAGUCUAAAAUGUGAUACUGUCAAUGUGACUAACCUUGAAGUAAACAGAUGACACAAUGUUUUUUCAAUGUCAUGGGCAUAUAAUGAAGAG